rnacentral:misc_RNA from 1 species
AAGAAGGAGAAGGCGCGAAUGUCAUGGCCGGUUUUUUGCUCCCCACCGGAAGACAUGGUGGUUGGUCCAUUGCCACAGUUUGUUAGUGACGAGAAUCCUGCAAAAUACAAGACCAAAAAGUAUAAGGACUAUGCGUACUGCAAGAUUAACAAACUUCCGCAAUAAGAAAUCAUUCCUUCAAUAGGGAAGAAAAUUUUCAUUUACGAAUAAUGUGUUAUGGCUUAUGACAAUAAGAUGUUUGG